UUGGCAAUUCAGAUGAUCGCUCUUUAUCGCAAGAUAAAGGGAGGAAAGUCGGGACACCCUGAGCCGAAAGGUUUAUAAAAAAGUAGCGGCUAACAGCCGUCGUCCGCAAGGACAGAGGUGCGAGCAGUGACGCUCCGACGCGAAAGUAUCGGAGGGACCCUAUCCCAAGCUAGAAGGUCCAACUCCGCGAUAGGGAUAAGAAAGCGGAGGUGAAACGGCUAAAUCCUUACUGGGUGCAAGACCGUACUCCAAUGCGGAGCAUUGGUUUGUGUCGCUUGAGCCCGCGAGCAAUCAAGGGCCCAGAUAAAUGAUCGCCGCCGCCGAUAACAAUCGGUGUGCACAGAAUCCCGCUUACGAAUUGCCGCAAAC
rnacentral:RNase_P_RNA from 2 species